rnacentral:rRNA from 1 species
UACGUAGGGACCAAGCGUUGUUCGGAUUUACUGAGGCAGGUAAGGGCGCGUGAGCGGCGUGACAAGUCAAUUGUGAAAUCUCCGGGCUUAACUCGGAACGGUCAAUUGAUACUGUUGUGCUAGAGUACAGAAGGGGCAAUCGGAAUUCUUGGUGUAGCGGUGAAAUGCGUAGAUAUCAAGAGGAACACCGGUGGCGAAGGCGGGUCUCUGGGCAGUUGCUGACACUGAGGCGCGACAGCGUGGGGAGCAAACAGG